AAAAGUGACGUCUGGAUUACCGCGUGUAUGUACAAGGGUUGUGAUUGUAUGUGUGCGACGCUAGUUUCCAAUGUUUACGAUCUGAAUGAUGCGAAACAACAAGAAGGAAAUUAAGUUAACAUUUUCCGUAAAUUUAAGAUAAAAUCAUUGUUCAGUGAUUUGUGAUGACAUAAAUUAUUCAUCGCGCAAUAUCUGUAUUUUUACUGUUGGAAAACGUUUGUUUCCCGUGUAAAAAAAGUGAGAGAAUUAAAUUCUUUAGGCUACUUCAACGCAGUGCCAAAAAAUUAGUGUUUUUUAUUCUCUCUCUUAUAAUCGUUUGUACACUCGUUCGCUUUUGUCGUUAAGGGCCGAUUCCGCGGUUUUUCUCCCUUUUUAUAUGUUUUGAACCGGAUCAAAACAUCGCCUGGUCUGACAGAUGUUGGAACAUUUGUAAGGUUCCAACAAUUACAAUCUAAUGUUCGUGGCUCAUUUUAUCAUCUGGAAAGUGGUGCCUCCUAGACUAGACUGUAUAUAUCAAACCCAAUUCGAUGAAAUUGAAUAAACGCGCCAACAGUGAGUUUGGUCACCCGUCUUAAUUAUAUGUAGCCAUUUGAUUGUGGUUUCCGUGUCGGAUGGUGGCAUAUGAUUCUUGUACACAUGGCGGAAGCAAAAUCACUUGUUAUGAUUCUAUUAUUUGGCGCUUCCAGAUUCCAUUCAUCCAGAUCCAGAAAAACAUUACAGAACCAACGUGAUUUAGUUUUUGAGCUAGCGUUAUAUACAAUUCCGGAAGUGAUGUUUUCGACGUACGGUAUGAUAUUUGGUUUUACGAAUGUAUUCAUUUUACUAAAUUUAUUUUGUCUUUUAGGAUCCGAACUACUCAAUCCUGAUAUGAGUUGUAUAAGCGAAUUACACUACUCUUACAAGCUGAACCUAACAUAUUUUAUAAACAUUAUUCGUGCAACUUAAUGCAAAAAUAGAACAGCUAUAGUUAGUGAGUGAAACGAUAUCACUAUCAACAGUUUAAUCAUCUCUUAAAACAUUUAAAAUGAAAUUCUACAUCACAGUUCAUGUAUUUUACGCUUAAGCACAUGUACGCAUUACUAAAGAACGUAUAUAGAUUAAUUAGAUAAUAUUUAACAUGUAGAAAAA